rnacentral:lncRNA from 1 species
GCUGCAGUGCAAUGGCUCUAUCUUGGCUCACUGCAACUUCCACCUUCUGGGUAAAAGUGAUUCUCCUGCCUCAGCCUCCCAGUAGCUGGGAUUACCGGCACCCACCACCAUGCCUGGCUAAUUUUUGUAUUUUUAGUAGAGACGGGGAUUUGCCAUGUUGGCCAGGCUGGUCCCAAACUCCUGACCUCAGGUGAUCUGCCUGCCUUGGCCUCCCAAAAUGCUGGGAUUACAGGCGUAAGCCACCAUGCCCGGCCUGCCUAGCAGGUUUGAAAGUGUGAAAGGACUCCAGUGGCUGGAGUGGAAGUGAGGAAGAGGGAGAGCUCCUGGGCACCAGAAUGAAUGGGGAGGGUCCUUUAGGGCACUGUGAGGCCAUUAGCUUUUACUCCUACUGAGACUGGACAUCCCAGGAGAGUUUCAGAGCAGAGAAGUGCUAUGACUGCUCUUGAAGUUUAAGAGGACCAGGUGGCUGGCUUUGCUGUGUGUCAGAGAACAGGAGCAGAAACAGGGAGACCAGCUGGGAGGUGACUGCAAAAGUCCAGGUGAGAGGCGAUGGAGCUAGUGAGGAGUGCCGGAGGCCUGGUGUAUUCUGACGACCUGAGUAUUUGCAGAUUUUGGUACCUGCAAGAGGUCCUGGAACCAAUACCCCAUGGAUACUGAGGGACAACUGUAAAUAUGUAUCAUCUUUCUUGCUGCCCUUGAAGAGUGGUGUCCAGUGAAUCUUUCAAAGAAUGAUACUGAGCUUCAUUGUUGAUGAACAAAAAUGCAAAUCUCACCCAGAGCAUGCAGGAACAUGCUAUAAUCACUACACUCCUAGAAUGUGAUCUCUUUCAAUAUUGACUGCAUCCAUGCCUUCCACACACUUGCACCAGUUGGGAGGAUGGAGAUGUCAUCUGGGCAGAGGGAGAAGAGCAGUACCAUUCAGAGAACUCAAAGGGCUGUGUGAAAAGUUUACUGUGGAAAAAGAAAUUGAAAAAACUGCCACUAAGUAGCAAUGGAAGGACUUUUCCCGCUAAGAUGAGGAACUGCUCAGAUCACCAGCUGCUUCAGGUUACCAGCCCACACCUGUCUGUCUCACCUCUGACAACCUUGGUAAAGAAACCAAGGCUUAGAGACCUGCUCACAGUCGUUUCGUGAGGGAAUGCAACAUCUGGGUCUAGGGUCCAAAUCUAUCUCUGCUGUGAAGAGGAACUCAUACAGGAGAUCUACAUGAUUACCAAUUCUUGGCCUUGCAGUGGAGGAUAUUAAUUUUAAGUACCUGUGAAAUGAAGUUCUUAAAACCUAAGAUUCCCCAAAACUCCAGUUAUCAACAAGGUUAUAUAGGAAUCAAAGCGAGGCGUUUGGAGUAGAUGCCGAGAUCACCUCUCCCUCACACCUCUGCUGACCCCAGCUACCUGCAAUCCUGCCAGGACCAUUCUGGAGUACCUUUCACUGAAGACAAAUUUAUUGUAAAAUUUCUACUGGGAUUCAUUGUAG